GAUGAACGCUGGCGGCGUGCCUAAUACAUGCAAGUCGAGCGAACAGACGAGGAGCUUGCUCCUCUGACGUUAGCGGCGGACGGGUGAGUAACACGUGGAUAACCUACCUAUAAGACUGGGAUAACUUCGGGAAACCGGAGCUAAUACCGGAUAAUAUAUUGAACCGCAUGGUUCAAUAGUGAAAGACGGUUUUGCUGUCACUUAUAGAUGGAUCCGCGCCGCAUUAGCUAGUUGGUAAGGUAACGGCUUACCAAGGCGACGAUGCGUAGCCGACCUGAGAGGGUGAUCGGCCACACGGGAACUGAGACACGGUCCAGACUCCUACGGGAGGCAGCAGUAGGGAAUCUUCCGCAAUGGGCGAAAGCCUGACGGAGCAACGCCGCGUGAGUGAUGAAGGUCUUCGGAUCGUAAAACUCUGUUAUUAGUGAAGAACAAAUGUGUAAGUAACUAUGCACGUCUUGACGGUACCUAAUCAGAAAGCCACGGCUAACUACGUG
rnacentral:rRNA from 1 species